rnacentral:rRNA from 1 species
UAAUACCGGAUGCUUGAUUGAGCCGCAUGGUUCAAUUAUAAAAGGUGGCUUUCAGCUACCACUUACAGAUGGACCCGCGGCGCAUUAGCUAGUUGGUGAGGUAACGGCUCACCAAGGCGACGAUGCGUAGCCGACCUGAGAGGGUGAUCGGCCACACUGGGACUGAGACACGGCCCAGACUCCUACGGGAGGCAGCAGUAGGGAAUCUUCCGCAAUGGACGAAAGUCUGACGGAGCAACGCCGCGUGAGUGAUGAAGGUUUUCGGAUCGUAAAACUCUGUUGUUAGGGAAGAACAAGUACCGUUCGAAUAGGGCGGCACCUUGACGGUACCUAACCAGAAAGCCACGGCUAACUACGUGCCAGCAGCCGCGGUAAUACGUAGGUGGCAAGCGUUGUCCGGAAUUAUUGGGCGUAAAGCGCGCGCAGGCGGUUUCUUAAGUCUGAUGUGAAAGCCCCCGGCUCAACCGGGGAGGGUCAUUGGAAACUGGGGAACUUGAGUGCAGAAGAGGAGAGUGGAUUCCACGUGUAGCGGUGAAUGCGUCGACAUGUGGAGGACACCAGUGGCGAAGGCGACUCUCUGGUCUGUAACUGACGCUGAGGCGCG